rnacentral:rRNA from 1 species
UACGGAGGGUGCGAGCGUUAAUCGGAAUUACUGGGCGUAAAGGGUUUGUAGGUGGUUAAAUAAGUCAGAUGUGAAAGCCCUGGGCUCAACCUAGGAACUGCAUUUGAUACUGUUUAACUAGAGUUUAUUAGAGGAUUGGGGAAUUUCCGGUGUAGCGGUGAAAUGCGUAGAUAUCGGAAGGAACAUCAAUGGCGAAGGCAACAAUCUGGGGUUAAACUGACACUGAGGGACGAAAGCGUGGGUAGCAAACAGG